rnacentral:tRNA from 1 species
GCCCUAGUAGCGUAACGGUUAAGUGCUCAGCUGCUAACUGAAAGAUUGGUGGUUCAAACCUACCCAGUGGCU